rnacentral:rRNA from 1 species
UACGUAGGGUGCGAGCGUUUGUCCGGAAUUAUUGGGCGUAAAGGGCUCGUAGGCGGUCUGUUGCGUCAGGAGUGAAAACCCGGGGCUCAACCCCGGGCCUGCAUUCGAUACGGGCAGACUAGAGUUCGGUAGGGGAGUCUGGAAUUCCUGGUGUAGCGGUGAAAUGCGCAGAUAUCAGGAGGAACACCGGUGGCGAAGGCGGGACUCUGGGCCGAUACUGACGCUGAGGAGCGAAAGCGUGGGGAGCGAACAGG